GCAUUUUCCCAUAAAGACAGAUACAGCAAAGCGUUAUCUUGAUACAUCACUAUUUGUCAUAAAACUAAUAAGCAGGUAAACUGGGGACUCAAUAUGGCAUACUGAUUAAAGGUAUGAGCUCUGGAAGUAGACCUAUGUGGACUUGAACCCUGCAAAAGGCACCUGAUAAUAACCUUAGGUGGUUUAUUUAACCUCUUUUAGUUUCAUUUUUCUUUUUCCUUUCUUUCUUCUUUUUUUUUUUUUUUAAGAGACUGGGUCUAUGUUGCUCAGGCUAGUAUUGAACUCCUUGCCUCAGGUGAUCCUGCCACCUCAGCCUCCUGAGUAGUUAUGAGUAAAGGCAUGAGCCUCCAUGCCCUAAGUCUCAUUUUUCUAAUCAGUAUAAUAGAGAUACAAAUGGCAUCUACUUCCCAAGGUUGUGAGAAUUAAAGCAUAUAAUAGAUUUCAAUUGCUUAGCAUGGUACUUGCCACAUAGUAAGUGCUCAAUAAAAUAUUACUAGUCACAGAAACAUCCUUCAGGUCUGAUAGCCAUCACCCAUAAAUAUCCACUGAAUCCUUAGGUUGAAAGGCAACUUAGAAAUCAUAUAGUAUUUUACCUAAUGCCAAAUCCCAAUGUCUUAUUUCAAACUGUGAGGUAAUCUUUUCUACUACGGGGUACAUAUUUUAAUAAGGUUAUCAUUACAAGCCUAAACCUGACUUCAGCUGAAGGGAUAAGUUAGGGUCCUCUGCUGAGCAGUACAGACUAGACCUCACUCUCUUUUCCAUAUGGUAGCCUAUCAGAUAGUGAACACAGCAAACACCAUUUGUUAGCUGCCACUCUCUCUUCCCUUUCCCAGUAUGCAGUCAAUCCUCAUCCCCGUAGGUUUUUUUUUUUUUUUUUUUUCUUCAAGAGAUGGGGU